rnacentral:rRNA from 1 species
UACGUAGGGUGCAAGCGUUAAUCGGAAUUACUGGGCGUAAAGCGUGCGCAGGCGGUUAUGCAAGACAGAUGUGAAAUCCCCGGGCUCAACCUGGGAACUGCAUUUGUGACUGCAUAGCUGGAGUGCGGCAGAGGGGGAUGGAAUUCCGCGUGUAGCAGUGAAGUGCGUAGAGAUGUGGAGGAACACCGAUGGCGAAGGCAGCCCCCUGGGCUAACACUGACGCUCAUGCACGAAAGCGUGGGGAGCAAACAGG